GGAGGGAGAAAGAAGCACGUCACUGGUGGCGCGUUUCCCCCCGGAGGGGAAGGGACGCGCGCGGAGUUUCGGCUGUGAUAUUUUUCCAAGGCUUAAAUACCACCUACCUUGUGUAUGCACCCACUGAACGUUUUAUUAGAUGCCAGCUUCAAUAAAAAGGCUGUUCUGACACACCCAAUCUUGUUGGAUCUACAGCCACCCAAGGGGAAUUUAUAAGUUGGAUUUUGAGGCCAGUGGAUUUCUGUACUUGUAACAUCGUGUGAAGGACCUGUAGAUGGUACGGUCUAUCCACCUUCGGAACCUGGCCACAGCCGUAUAGACUCCUGGAAGCCCGGUAACCCUGCGGAUGUUUCC